UACAGAGGGUGCAAGCGUUGCUCGGAAUCACUGGGCGUAAAGCGCGCGUAGGUGGACAUCUAAGUCGGAUGUGAAAGCCCUGGGCUUAACCUAGGAACUGCAUCCGAUACUGGGUGACUAGAGUAUGGUAGAGGGAAGUGGAAUUUCCGGUGUAGCGGUGAAAUGCGUAGAUACCGGAAGGAACACCAGUGGCGAAGGCGACUUCCUGGAUCAAUACUGACACUUAGGUGCGAAAGCGUGGGGAGCAAACAGG
rnacentral:rRNA from 1 species